UACGUAGGGUGCAAGCGUUGUCCGGAAUUAUUGGGCGUAAAGAGCUCGUAGGCGGUCUGUCACGUCGGCUGUGAAAACCCGAGGCUCAACCUCGGGCCUGCAGUCGAUACGGGCAAACUAGAGUACUGCAGGGGAGACUGGAAUUCCUGGUGUAGCGGUGAAAUGCGCAGAUAUCAGGAGGAACACCGGUGGCGAAGGCGGGUCUCUGGGCAGUAACUGACGCUGGAGGAGCGAAAAGCCGUGGGGGAGCGAAACAGGG
rnacentral:rRNA from 1 species